AUUGAACGCUGGCGGCAGGCCUAACACAUGCAAGUCGAACGGUAACAGGAAGAAGCUUGCUUCUUUGCUGACGAGUGGCGGACGGGUGAGUAAUGUCUGGGAAACUGCCUGAUGGAGGGGGAUAACUACUGGAAACGGUAGCUAAUACCGCAUAACGUCGCAAGACCAAAGAGGGGGACCUUCGGGCCUCUUGCCAUCGGAUGUGCCCAGAUGGGAUUAGCUAGUAGGUGGGGUAACGGCUCACCUAGGCGACGAUCCCUAGCUGGUCUGAGAGGAUGACCAGCCACACUGGAACUGAGACACGGUCCAGACUCCUACGGGAGGCAGCAGUGGGGAAUAUUGCACAAUGGGCGCAAGCCUGAUGCAGCCAUGCCGCGUGUAUGAAGAAGGCCUUCGGGUUGUAAAGUACUUUCAGCGGGGAGGAAGGGAGUAAAGUUAAUACCUUUGCUCAUUGACGUUACCCGCAGAAGAAGCACCGGCUAACUCCGUGCCAGCAGCCCGCGGUAAUACGGAGGGUGCAAGCGUUAAUCCGAAUUACUGGGCGUAAAGCGCACGCAGGCGGUUUGUUAAGUCAGAUGUGAAAUCCCCGGGCUCAACCUGGGAACUGCAUCUGAUACUGGCAAGCUUGAGUCUCGUAGAGGGGGGUAGAAUUCCAGGUGUAGCGGUGAAAUGCGUAGAGAUCUGGAGGAAUACCGGUGGCGAAGGCGGCCCCCUGGACGAAGACUGACGCUCAGGUGCGAAAGCGUGGGGAGCAAACAGGAUUAGAUACCCUGGUAGUCCACGCCGUAAACGAUGUCGACUUGGAGGUUGUGCCCUUGAGGCGUGGCUUCCGGAGCUAACGCGUUAAGUCGACCGCCUGGGGAGUACGGCCGCAAGGUUAAAACUCAAAUGAAUUGACGGGGGCCCGCACAAGCGGUGGAGCAUGUGGUUUAAUUCGAUGCAACGCGAAGAACCUUACCUGGUCUUGACAUCCACGGAAGUUUUCAGAGAUGAGAAUGUGCCUUCGGGAACCGUGAGACAGGUGCUGCAUGGCUGUCGUCAGCUCGUGUUGUGAAAUGUUGGGUUAAGUCCCGCAACGAGCGCAACCCUUAUCCUUUGUUGCCAGCGGUCCGGCCGGGAACUCAAAGGAGACUGUUAGUGAUAAACUGGAGGAAGGUGGGGAUGACGUCAAGUCAUCAUGGCCCUUACGACCAGGGCUACACACGUGCUACAAUGGCGCAUACAAAGAGAAGCGACCUCGCGAGAGCAAGCGGACCUCAUAAAGUGCGUCGUAGUCCGGAUUGGAGUCUGCAACUCGACUCCAUGAAGUCGGAAUCGCUAGUAAUCGUGGAUCAGAAUGCCACGGUGAAUACGUUCCCGGGCCU
rnacentral:rRNA from 1 species